rnacentral:lncRNA from 1 species
GCUAAAUAAACCUCUCAUUUGUAUGACAGUCGCAUAUAAUUCCCAUAUAUUGACAUUGUGUGUACAAAACAAACUAACAUAAUAAGUAAAUAUGUAAAAAAACAGCAAUCAUAAUCAUGCUGCAUAAAUUUUCCUUCAGUUGUAGCGUUCACCAAGCGUAUACCUUUGUAUUUCAACGUUCUUCAAACUGAUGCAACGCGCGCCAAACGAUUGCUUAGCGUUCAUCUGGCAUGCAACUAACGUAUACCGACUUUGUCAAUUUUCUCUGUACGUUUAGUGCACGCCGGUCUAUACGCCAAUGUGUGACGCCGGCAUUAGAUACAAUACUUACCAAAGGAAACAAAUCAUAAAACAACUUUAUCAAAUUCAAAAGCAUCGAGGAUAGUAGAUGAGAUCCAGGCAACACAGUUUAUCGACAGGUUGUAGGUAUCCCCAUGGGCCCUUAUUGUGCCCCUUUAAUAGCAGACUUAUUUUUGUACUGUUACGAAUCACAUUUUAUGACUAAACUCAGUAAAGACCCGUCGAAAUUGCAU